UACGGAGGGUGCAAGCGUUGUCCGGAAUCACUGGGCGUAAAGGGCGCGUAGGCGGCUCAUGAAGGCUGUGGUGAAAGUCCGGGGCUCAACCUCGGAUCGGCCGUGGCGACUCGUGGGCUGGAGCACUGUAGAGGCGGGUGGAAUUCCGGGUGUAGCGGUGGAAUGCGUAGAGAUCGGAAAGAACACCAACGGCGAAAGCACUCUGCUGGGCCGACACUGACACUGAGAGACGAAAGCUAGGGGAGCAAAUGGG
rnacentral:rRNA from 1 species